CUUCAGGGCGCCGAGCCACAGCGGCCGGUCCUCGGGGCGGUCGGUGCCGUAGGUGGCGAGGAGGGCCUGCGCCUC
rnacentral:antisense_RNA from 1 species